GACGAACGCUGGCGGCGUGCUUAACACAUGCAAGUCGAACGGUGAACCGGCUUCGGCCGGGGAUCAGUGGCGAACGGGUGAGUAACACGUGGGCAACCUGCCCCAGACUCUGGGAUAACCCCGGGAAACCGGGGCUAAUACCGGAUACGACUGCCGCGGGCAUCCGUGGUAGUGGAAAGAUUUCUCGGUCUGGGGUGGGCCCGCGGCCUAUCAGCUUGUUGGUGGGGUAGUGGCCUACCAAGGCGACGACGGGUAGCCGGCCUGAGAGGGCGACCGGCCACACUGGGACUGAGACACGGCCCAGACUCCUACGGGAGGCAGCAGUGGGGAAUAUUGCGCAAUGGGCGAAAGCCUGACGCAGCGACGCCGCGUGAGGGAUGAAGGCCUUCGGGUUGUAAACCUCUUUCAGCAGGGACGAAGCGAAAGUGACUGUACCUGCAGAAGAAGCACCGGCUAACUACGUGCCAGCAGCCGCGGUAAUACGUAGGGUGCAAGCGUUGUCCGGAAUUAUUGGGCGUAAAGAGCUCGUAGGCGGUCUGUCGCGUCGGAUGUGAAAACCCGGGGCUUAACCCCGGGCCUGCAUUCGAUACGGGCAGACUCGAGUGUGGUAGGGGAGACUGGAACUCCUGGUGUAGCGGUGUAAUGCGCAGAUAUCAGGAAGAACACCGGUGGCGAAGGCGGGUCUCUGGGCCACUACUGACGCUGAGGAGCGAAAGCGUGGGGAGCGAACAGGAUUAGAUACCCUGGUAGUCCACGCCGUAAACGUUGGGCGCUAGGUGUGGGGGACUUUCCACGUCCUCCGUGCCGCAGCUAACGCAUUAAGCGCCCCGCCUGGGGAGUACGGCCGCAAGGCUAAAACUCAAAGGAAUUGACGGGGGCCCGCACAAGCGGCGGAGCAUGUGGCUUAAUUCGACGCAACGCGAAGAACCUUACCAAGGCUUGACAUACGCAGAAAUCCGGCAGAGAUGUCGGGUCCACAAGGGCUGCGUACAGGUGGUGCAUGGUUGUCGUCAGCUCGUGUCGUGAGAUGUUGGGUUAAGUCCCGCAACGAGCGCAACCCUCGUUCCAUGUUGCCAGCGGGUAAUGCCGGGGACUCAUGGGAG
rnacentral:rRNA from 1 species